CACCCCACCGGGCCGCGCGCCCCUGCUCCGCCCGCCUGACGGCGACCCUCCCCGGCCGGCCCACGCCCCUCCCGCGCCGCCUCCCCACUCGCCCGCCGCUGUCCGCGAACCUGCGCUUCCUUCUCAACCUUUCGCUCGUUCGCCUCUGCUGCCUUUGCGUCUCCCCAGCUGGGCUUCUCCUCUCCUCCCCUCCUACUUUUUGCCCCCCGCUUCCCUCCUUCUCCUCCGCCCCCCGCCCGGCGGCCUCUCCCCCUGGAAAUGAAAUCGACCCUCACCGGGAUCCACGCGUCAGCCGCUGCCACCUCAUUGGUCCCCAAAUCAGUCCAGCGGGGUCCGGCCUGAACCGGGACGAGGGACUCGGGGAGGGGAAACGGAAGGUGGGCACAGUACUGGGACACUGCUGUGCCUGCGAAGCCUUUGGCAGAGGAUGUGGCGCUGGCACGGAGUCCUCGCCCCCACUCCUCCUUCCCGCCCCGGAGGCUCGUCCCCUCCAGGACUUCGCCAGGGAGAGGAGGACAAGGGGGCUUGGCCCGGAACGUGCUUUGCUCAAGCGUCCAAGCAAGCAAGAGUGGCGCCACGAUCCUGAGAAACUCAGCACUUAAUCUGGGUUAAUGGCACUGGGGAUGUGUAGCAUGUGUGAGCCUGUCAGUGAAGAUACAUCAUCGAUAAUAUAUUUACUCCAUAGAAUAAUGGUAAUGUAUUAUAUAUUAAUGGCAUGUAAUACUGUAUUAUUACAUAUGUUCAUUAUAAUAUAGAUCCAGUAUGUAACAACCAGCAAGGAUCUGGUUGUUUAAAAACUGGGGUUCUCUGGGGGCACCUGGAUGGCUCAGUUCGGUUGAGCAUUAUAGGACUUCAGCUCAGGUCACGAUCUCGGGGUCUUUGAGUCCCAGCCCCACAUGGGGCUCUCUGCUGACAGCUCAGAGCCUGGAGUCUGCUUCAGAUUCUGUGUCUCCCUCUCUCUCUCUCUCUCCACCCGCCCCCCCCAGCCCCGCUCACGCUCUGACUCUCUCAUAAAUAAACAGUAAAAAAAAAGAAAAACUGGGGUUCUC
rnacentral:lncRNA from 1 species